ACAGAAGAAUAUCAGGGUCUGCAUCCCUGCUUGCCAUCACGGAUAAAUUAUAUUUGAAAAACGAAUGGAAUAGAUGCGCAGGAAGAGAGGACGGAGAGAACCUUUCUUUGUUCUGCGGACGCCAACCAACCUGCCCAUCCAGUUUUAAGACAUGGUGGGAAAGGGAACAUGGGGAUUUCUUUAUUGGGAGGUUGGAAAAAG